UGAUGCAGCGACGCCGCGUGAGGGAUGAAGGCCUUCGGGUUGUAAACCUCUUUCAGCAGGGAAGAAGCGAAAGUGACGGUACCUGCAGAAGAAGCACCGGCUAACUACGUGCCAGCAGCCGCGGUAAUACGUAGGGUGCGAGCGUUGUCCGGAAUUAUUGGGCGUAAAGAGCUUGUAGGCGGUUUGUCGCGUCUGCUGUGAAAAUCCGGGGCUCAACCCCGGACUUGCAGUGGGUACGGGCAGACUAGAGUGUGGUAGGGGAGACUGGAAUUCCUGGUGUAGCGGUGAAAUGCGCAGAUAUCAGGAGGAACACCGAUGGCGAAGGCAGGUCUCUGGGCCACUACUGACGCUGAGAAGCGAAAGCGUGGGGAGCGAACAGGAUUAGAUACCCUGGUAGUCCACGCCGUAAACGUUGGGAACUAGGUGUGGGUCUCAUUCCACGAGAUCUGUGCCGCAGCUAACGCAUUAAGUUCCCCGCCUGGGGAGUACGGCCGCAAGGCUAAAACUCAAAGGAAUUGACGGGGGCCCGCACAAGCGGCGGAGCAUGUGGAUUAAUUCGAUGCAACGCGAAGAACCUUACCAAGGCUUGACAUAUACCGGAAACAUCCAGAGAUGGGUGCCCCGCAAGGUCGGUAUACAGGUGGUGCAUGGUUGUCGUCAGCUCGUGUCGUGAGAUGUUGGGUUAAGUCCCGCAACGAGCGCAACCCUCGUUCCAUGUUGCCAGCAGCACCUUUGGGUGGCUGGGGACUC
rnacentral:rRNA from 1 species